rnacentral:rRNA from 1 species
UACAGAGGGUGCGAGCGUUAAUCGGAAUUACUGGGCGUAAAGCGUGCGUAGGCGGUUCGCCAAGUCCGGUGUGAAAUCCCCGGGCUUAACCUGGGAAUUGCGGUUGAAACUAGCGGGCUUGAGUGUGGCAGAGGGGGGUGGAAUUCCACGUGUAGCAGUGAAAUGCGUAGAGAUGUGGAGGAACACCGAUGGCGAAGGCAGCCCCCUGGGUCAACACUGACGCUCAGGCACGAAAGCGUGGGGAGCAAACAGG